UUCUCACUACUGCACUUGACUAGUCUUA
rnacentral:piRNA from 5 species